UUCAACUUCUACUGCCAUACCACCAACAUCCGCCUCUGAUUUCAUAGGCCAUCGUGAUAAAAUAGGAGGCGUUAUUUUUGGAGCUACCCUUUUUCAGACUGCAUAUUCACUUCAUCAGGAAUGACUGACUUCUUCAGCAGCACCUUGUACCCAAUGCUGUACCAAUCUUCAUGUCAGUAUUGCUGCUACUUGCUGUGAAUACCAGAAAGCAGUCAAGCAUCCAAACUGAUCUGCCCAAUUUUCAGCACAGAAUGGCUGAGGUGGGAACAGACCUCUUGAGGCCACCUGACCCAACUGACCC